CUUGGACUAGUCAGAUUUCUGAAGAAAGGUCUUCCUAUGUCCUCUGUGUCUGUGUUUAUGUUUGUAUAUGUAUCUGGCUGGGAGCAUUCUGGCAACCAAGCAGAGGAAAACGUCUGAGGGCCUUAACAUUGAAAUCCCAGAGACAACCCAAAACCCUACUGCCACUGGAGCUGCAGAAGUACCACUUGCUGUCCUUGGGCUGGAGAAGAAACAAAGAGCCUGAAUGUUUUGCUGGCACCUCGAGCAUGACACAGUCACCAUAGACAGAGGAGCCCAGCCUCUCAGUCUCUCUUCCCUGUGAGCCUCUACCUCCCACUCUUCACCAAGCAGCCCUGCCCCCCACAGAGCUGCCCCACCCCUGCAUGAACAUUUCCAUUGGCAGUGGCUCUGUUUCUCCAGGGUGAGGCUCCCAGAUGCUACUGAAAGUCCCUCCGCCUUUGCAACUGCAGAGGUACUGCCCUUGCUGCCUUUGGACUGGAGAAGGAACAAAGACCCUAAGUGCUUUACUCAUACCUCCAGCCUGCCACAGCUGCUCUAGGGAGAAGAGGCCAUUCUGUCUUCCCUGCAAGCCCCUCAUCCCCGUGUUCAUCACCAGGCAGGGCCUCCUGGCUUGGGCCCUCAAUGCAGCUACCCAUCCUGGGGCUGACUGUUCCAAUUGGCAGCAACUCUUAAUUUCUCUAAGAGAAAUUAAGUGAAGUGAAGCCCCAAGAGACAAGUGAAAGGCCCUCUGCCAUUUACACUGCCAAGGUCCCUUACCCUGCAGCUCCCAAGUUGGGGAGAAAACAAAAAGCCAGAGUUCACCCCAGGGUUGCAGUGCACAGCCUGAGAGUGCCAAGCUGGGAUCUGCAGCCAGCAUUGAAUAGAAGAGGAGCCCUACACUCUCAGAGUACUGAGAGAGAACACUGCUGCAAUCAUGAGGAAAUGGAGAGGAGCUAAUGUGGCUGAGCAAGAGCCUACAUACUGGCGGUUACACAUAGGCGCCAUCUACUGGAUCCCAGGCCAAACUUUGACAGCAAAAAUAGUUCGCUAUUAUAGGCCCCUGUGAAACCAAGGACAAGAAUUCAGCCACAAAUAAAGACCCUGCACAAAGCCUCGGCCUUUUGGAAACAUCCAGAAAGGAAGUCAACUGACGGUACUCAAAUUACACCACAGUUAAAGGAACAUCAGCCCACAUGGAUGAGAAAGAACCAGCACAAGAAUUCUGGCAACUCUAAAAGUUAGUGCGUCCUUACCUCCAAAAGACCACAUUAUUUCCCAAGCCAUUGUUCUUAACCAGAAUGAAAUGGCUGAAAUGACAGACAGAAUUCAAAAUCUAGAUGAUAACAAAGGUCAUUGAAAUUCAGGAGAAAGUGGAAACCCAUUCCAAAAAACCUGAAGAAUCCAGUAAAAUGAUUCAGGAAAUGAAAGAUGAAAUAGCCAUUUUAAGAAAGAAACAAACUGAGCUGAUAGAGCUGAAAAACUGACUACAAGAAUCUCAUAACACAAUAGGAAGUAUUAAUAACAGAACAGACCAAGCUGAGGAAAGAAUGGCAGAGAUUCAAGACCAGUUCUUUGAAUUAUCAGGUUGAUGCAAAAGUGAUUGUGGCUUUUGUCAUAUUUGAUGGCAAAAACCACAGUUACUUUUGCACCAACCUGAUAACUCAGACAAGAAAAAAAAAACUUGGAAAAAUAUAGUAUUAUGUAAAGAGUCCAAAUCUAUGACUCAUUGGCAUAUCUGAAAGGGAGAGAAAACAAGAAAAUUGGGAAACGUAUUUGAGGAUAUUGUUCACAGAAAUUUCCCCAACCCCACAAGAGGAGUCAGCAUACAAAUUCAAAAAAUUUAGAGGACCCCUGUGAAAUAUAGUACAAGAGGACCAUCUCCAAGACAAAUAGUCAUCAGAUUCUUCAAGGUCAAUGUGAAAGAGAAAAAAUAUUAAACGCAGCUCAAGAGGAGGGGCAGGUCACCUACAAAGGGAACCCCAUCAGGCUAACAGCAGACCUUUCAGCAGAAACUACAAGCCCGAAGAGAUUGAGGGCCUAUAUUCACCAACCUUAAAGAAAAGAAAUUCCGACCAAGAAUUUCAUAUCCAGCCAAACUAAGCUUCAUAAACACAGAAGAAAUAAGAUCUCUUUCAGGGAAGCAAUUGGUAAGGAAAUGUGUUACCACAAGAUCUACCUUAUAAGAGGUCCUUAAGGGAGUGCUAAACAUGGAAAUGACCACCAUGAAAACACACUCAAGUACAUAGAUCAUCAACAACAUAAAGCAAAUACACAAUCAAGUCUACAUAACAACCAGCUAACAAAAUAAUGGCAGGAUCAAAUCUGCACAUAUCAGUAUUAACCUUGAGCAUAAAUGGGUUAAACACCUCACUUAAAAGACAUAGAGUAACAAGUUGGAUUAAGAAGCAAGACCCAUGUAUGUUGUCUUCAAGGGACCCAGCUCACAUGCAAGGACACCCACAGGUUCAAAGUAAAGGGAGGGAGAAAGAUCUAUCAAGCACAUAGAAAACAAAAAAGAGCAGGAGUUGCUAUUCUUAUUUUAAACAAAACCAACUUUAAACCAAUAAUGAUAAAAAAGGAAAAAGAAGGGCAUUACAUAAUGAUAAAGGGUUUAAUUCAACAAGAAGACUUAACUAUCCUAAGUAUGUAUGCACCCAACACUGGAGCACCCAGAUUCAUAAAAUAAGCUCUUAGAGACCUAUGAAGAGACUUCGAUAAACACAAUAGUAGUGGGAGACUUCAACACCACACUAACAAUAUUGGACAGAUCAAAGCAGAAUGCUAACGAAGAUAUUCAGGACCUAAAUUUACUCUUGACCAAGAAUCUGUAGAUGGAUCUAACAGACAUCUACCGAACACUCCACCCAACAAAAACAGAAUAUACAUUCUUCUCAUCUGCUCAUGAAACACACUCUAAAAUUGACCACAUGCUCAGCCAUAAAGCAAUUCUCAACAAAUUAAAAAAUGGAAAUAAUACCAACCACACUGUCAGACUGGAGCACAAUAAAAAUAGAAAUCAAUACCAAGAACAUUUCUCAAAACCAUACAAUAAAAUGGAAAUUAAUCUGUUCCUGAAUGACUUUUGGGUAAACAAUGAAAUUAAGGCAGGAAUCAAGAAAAUCUUUGAAAUUAAUGAAAACAAAGAUACAAUGUAACAGAAUCUCUGGGACACAGCUAAAACAGUGUUAAGAGGAAAGUUUGUAGCUCUAAACACCCACAUCAAAAAGUUAGAAAGAUCUCAAGUUAACAACCUAACAUCACACCUAGAGGAACUUGAAAAAGAAGAGGAAACCAAUAUCAAAAGUAGCAGAAGAAAAUAACAAAAAUUAGAGCUGAACUGAAUUAAAUGGAAAUGAGAAAAACCGUAUAAAACAUCAAGGAAACCAAAAGUUGGUUUUUCAAAAGAAUAAGUACGAUUGACAGACUGCUUGCUAGGCUAAUAAUACAGAAAAAGAGAAGAUCCAAAUAAACACAAUCAGAAGUGACAAAGUGUGCAUUACCACUGACCCCACGGAAGUACAAAAACCCUCAGAAACUAUUAUGAGCACCUCUAUGCACACAAACUAGAAAACCUAAAAGAAAUAGAUACAUUUCUGGAAACAUACAACCUCCCAAGAUCGAACCAGGAAGAAAUUGAAACCCUGAACAGGUCAACAACGAGUUCUGAAACUGAAUGAAUAACAAAAAAACCUACCAAUCAGAAAAAUCCCUGUAGCAGACAGAUUCACUACCGAAUUUUACUACAUGUAUAAAGACGAGCUGGUACCAAUCCUACUGAAACUAUUUCAAAAAAAUCAUUGAGGAGGGUCUCCUCUCUAACUCAUUCUAUGAGGCCAGAAUAAUUCUGAUAACAGAACCUGGCAGAGCCAAGUGAAAAAAGAAAACUUCAGGUCAAUAUCCCUGAUGAACAGACAUAUAAAAAUCUUUAACAAAAUACUAACAAACUAAAUCUAGCAACAUAGCAAAAAGCUAAUUCACUAUGAUCAAGUAGACUUUAUCUGGGAUGCAAGGUUGGCUCAUCUUACACAAAUCAAUAAAUGUGAUCCAUUUCAUAAACAGAACCAAAACCAAAACCCACAUGAUCAUCUCAAUAGACACAGAAAAGGCUUUCAAUAAAAUUCAAUAUCCUUUCAUGUUAAAACUCUAAAAAAACUUGGAAUCAAAGGUACAUAUCAUAAAAUAAUAAGAGCCAUCUAUUACAAACCCACAGCUAACAUCAUACUAAAUGGGCAAAAGCUAGAAGCAUUCCACUUGAGAACCAGAACAAGACAAGUAUUCCCACUGUCACCACUCCUAUUCAACAUAGUGCUGGAAGUCCUAGCCAGAGCAAUCAGGCAAGAGAAGAAAUUCCAACCAAGAAUUUCAUAUCCAGCCAAACUAAGCUUCAUAAACGCAGAAGAAAAAGAUCUCUUUCAGAGAAGCAAUUGGUAAGGAAAUGUGUUACCACAAAAUUAAAAAAAAAUCCUAUCCAAAUAAGAAGAGAGAAAGUCAAAUUAUUUCUUUGCAGAUGAUAUGAUACUAUACCUAGAAAACCCCAUAAUCUUUGCUCAAAGGCUCUUAGAUCUUAUGAACAAGUUCAGCAAGGUUUCAGGAUACAAAAUCGAUGUACAAAAAUGAGUAGCAUUUCUAUACACUAACAAUGUCCAAGCUGAGAGCUAAAUCAAGAAUGAAAUUCCAUUCUCAAUAGCCACCAAAGGAAUAAAAUACCUAGGAAUACAGUUAACCAGGAAGGUGAAAGAUAUCUGCAAUGAGAAUUACAAAACACUGCUGAAAGGCAUCAGAGGCAACACAAACAAAUGGAAAAAUAUUCCAUGCUCAUGGAUAGGAAGAAUCACUACUGUUUAACUGGCCAUACCGACCAAAGCAAUUUAUAGAUUCAAUGCUGUUCCUAUCUACCAAUGAUACUUUUCACAGAAUUAAAAAAAUUAUUCUAAAAUUUAUUUGGAACCAGAAAAGGAGCCCAUACAGUCAGAGCAAUCCUAAACAAAAAGAAAAAAGCUGCAGGUAUCACUACCUGAUUUCAAGCUAUACUGCAAGGCUACAGUAACUGAAACAGCAUAGUACUGAUACAAAAACAGACAUGUAGACCAAUGGAACAGGUUAGAUAACCUAGAAAUAAAGUUGCACACCUACAACCAUCUGAUCUUCAAAAAAUCUGACAAAACAAGCAAUGGGGAAAGGAUUCCCUAUUCAAUAAAUGGUACUGGGAUAACUGACUUGUCAUAUGCAGAAGAUUGAAACUGGAUCCCUGAAUUUUACCAUAUAUAAAAAUUUACCCAAGAUGGAUUGAAGACUUAAACGUAAAACCUAAAACUAUAAGAAAACUUAGGAAAUACCAUUCUGGAAAUAGGAACUGGCAAAGAUUUCAUGAUGAAGUCACAAAAAACAAUUGCAACAAUUGACAAAUGGGACCUAAUUAAACUAAAGAGAUUCUGCACAGCAAAAAACAAACAAAAAAACCCAAAACAAAAAAAAGCAAACAAAAAAACCCCCAAAACAAAUAAUAAACAGACAACCUACAGAAUAUGAGAAAAUAUUUGCAAACCAUGCGUUUGAUAAAGGUCUAAUAUUGAUAACCUAUAAGAAACUCAGAAAUCAAUAUGCAAAAAACCCAUUAAAAAUGGGCAAAGGAUGUGAACACUUCUCAAAAGAAGACAUGGAUGUGGCCAAAAACAUAUGAAAGAAUUCUCAAUAUGACUUAUCAUUAGGGACAUGCAAAUCAAAACCACAAUGAGAUACCAUCUCAUAACAAUCAGAAUGGAUAUUAAUAAAAAGUCAAAAAAUAAAAGAUGCUGGUAAAGUUGCAGAGAAAAGGGAACACUUAUACACUGUUGGUGUGACUGUAAAUUAGUUCAGCCAUUGCGGAAAGCAGUACGGUGACUCCUCAAAUAGCCAAAAGCAGAACUAGCAUUUGACCCAGCAAUCUCAUUACUGGGUAUAUACUCAAAGGAAUGUAAAUCAUUCUACCAUAAGAUACAUGUACACUAUUCACAAUAGCAAAGACAUAGAAUCAUGUCUAGAUGCCUACCAGUGAUGGACUGGAUAAGGAGAGUGUGGUACAUAUAUACCAUGAAAUACUAUGCAGCUAUUAAAAAAAUAUUAUGGCCUUUGCAGCAACAUGGAUGGACCUGGAGGCCAUUAUCCAAAGCAAAUUAAUGCAGGAACAGAAAAUCAAAUACUGCAUGUUCUCGCUUGUAAGUGUGAACUAAAUUCUGUUGAUUACACAUGGACACAAAGAAGGGAACAACAGACACUGUAGCCUAUUUGAGGGUAGAGAGUGAGAGUAGGUAAGGUUUGAGAAACUAUAAUAUUUAUUAGGUAUUAUGCAGAUUACCUGGGUGACAAAAUUAUCUGUACCCCAAAUCCCCGUGAAACACAAUUUGCCUUUGUAACAAACUUGCACAUGUACCCCUUGAGCUCAAAAUAAAAGUUGAAAAGAGAACAAAAACAAAACAAAAAAAGUGGAAGAGGUUAUCCUCUGUAAUGUGGGUGGGCCUCACCUAAUCAGUUGAAAGCUUUAAGAGCAAAAACUAAGAUUUCCUUAAAAAAAAAAAAAAGGAAUUCUGCCUCAAGACUAUAAUAUACAAAAUCCUGUCUGCAUUCCAGUCUGCCGGCCUGUCCUACAAAUUUGACAUUUGCCAAAUAUAUCCUAUUUGUUCUAUGUGUCUGGAGAACCCUGACUGAUAACAGUUGCUUUUUAAUACAUUUAAGCAUCUUCAGACUUGAAGUUUAAUAAUGUUUCUAAAAUUAUGGUAGGAUUGAAAAUAUCACAAUAGCUACUCUAACCCUGUAUCCAUUGUAAGACAGUGUAUGGAGUGCUGAGUCCCAGGAAGGAGCAAGAUUGUUUGAGUAUCCUUUUUUUAAGUAGCACCAGAAUCGUGAAGACCAUUAUCAGUCCUAUCCUCUUGGUUCAGCUGUCUUCUCUUCUACGACAUUUAAAAAGCUUGUUAAUUUUGGGAUUUCUAAAGUCAACAAAAGGAUAAAUA
rnacentral:lncRNA from 10 species